CAAGUGGUGCUGUGUCCGCACCGGGAAUCCGAAACAGUGAACCCCUGGCCGCUGAAGCAGAACUUGUGCACUUAAGUGCUGAGCCACUGGGACAGCCCCAAGGAUGAUUUUUAAAUAGCUUAAAACUUCAAGAAAUGGAUUAUGCAAAACAUUGAAAAUAUUCCAGGGAAGCAAAAAAAAGGGAACAAUUUCUGACUCAUUUUAUGAGGCUUUUAUGACUUUGGUAUUAAAAUCAGACAAGAAGAAUAUGAAAAUGAAGAAUUAUAUUUUAAUCCAUUUACACUUGUCAAUGUGUCCCCAGCAUUUCCCAUUUAAGGCAUAUGAGUCUAAAUAAUGCGACAAGAUUUCUCUGUGUCUCAGUCUCUGAAAGUUAUUUUCAGAGAGGAAUAUCAGGCAUGUUUCUAUUCAUGUCUUUAAUAAUGACACUAUGCCUAGAAUAAAGCUUUAAAUUUCCAGAGUUUUGAAAAAUUUUAGUCAUUAAGCACAGAAGCUGUAGUCUCCUGUUGUACCGAUUAAUUCUAUUGUCUUUAUUUGCUCCCAAUUUACAAAGUUCAGUUCAAACCUUAAUAAGUAAUAAUUUUAUAAACAAAAAAAGGGAAACUAAAGAAAAAGAGAAUAAAGGAACAUUAGCAUUUGGCAAAAGUAAGCAAUUGUUGUGUCCAAAGUGGAAGAAAAUGAAUGCUUAUUGAUCAUCUAAAGUAUCUCAGAGACUAUUCUAGACAUAGUAAUUAUGACAUCUCACUUAAUUUUCCUAGCCUUAUAUAACAAAGACAAUUAACCUUGUAUAAAUGGAGAAACAAGCUUACGGAAGUUAAGUUACUUGCCUAACUUCACUUAGCCUGUAGGUAAUAGACCUAGGAUUCAAACAUAAGUAAAUUUUGAUUUCAAAGUCCACGCUUAUAUUGGGCUGAAUGGUUUAUUUAAGUAUUAUAGAAAAUUUACAUUUUGAGACUAGAAAGGAAAGGGCAUGUUUUUAGUAUAAUGGCAUAUACCAAUAUUAAUAAUUGAUCAAUCUUUGUCCUUUGCCCAGUCUGUGAUACUGAAAUCAUAUGUAGACUAAUAAACUUAAUGAAUUUUCUAAGUAAACUUUUUAAUUUUGGAAUGAUUUGGGAUUUACAGCAAAAUUAUAAAAAUAGUACAAAAAUUUCCUUUUAUGCCUCACACAUUUUUCCCUAAUUUAUAUUAUCAGGGUCCAUUUGUCAAAAUUAAGAAACUAAAAUAAAAAGAGUGAGAGAAAAAAAAAGAAAUACACAAUACUAAUAUCAGGAAUGAUAUGGGGGAUGGCACUACAAACCCCACAGACAUUAAUGAUACUUAAUGGUGAAACAAUGAAUGCUUCCUGUAAGAUGAGGAACAAGUUUUGGAGACCAAGAAGUCCAAGAUCAAGGUGCUGGCAGAUCUGAUGUUGGGUGACAGACUACUUCCUGCUUUGUCCUCAACAUGUCAGCCUAUUCUUGUUUCAGGGACAAUGUGUUUGCUGUUUUUCCCACCUGGGACGUUUUUUCCCUAGAUGUCACAUGGAUUGUUCCCUUAUCUUGUGCCUUUGCUCCAACAAAGCCUUCAUGAGACCACUGUACAUACUUUAAAUUGAAGCUCCCUCCACUAAAGCACUCCCACCCCCUUUCCAUGUCUUUUUUAUUCCAUGUCAUUGAUUACUGUUUGGCCUCCUUUGUUUGUUUUCUGUUCUACCAUCUUCUUUCACUAAAAUGUAAGUUCAA